rnacentral:lncRNA from 1 species
AUGUGGAUCUACAAAGCAACCUUCUCUGUUAACCUAGGAGAAGAUCAUGACAAGCAAGUGCCCUCAGAUGCAGGCAGGAACAGAGCUUGUGGACCUAGCCACCUUCAUCGCAGGCAGAACUUUGUAAUUUCUGACAAAAUAUCUUAUUUCAGUGUGGUAUCUUCAGGAGAACCUCCCAGUCUGCCACACCAGACACAGCAAAGCAAAGCGUGGCAGCAGCUCCAAAAACAAGCUCAGCAGGCUACCAUCAUUCAGGCUGCAUGGAGAGGCUAUCGAGUCCGAAGAGAGCUGGAUGAAAUGAACAAAGCUGCUGUCAAGAUUCAGGCAGCUUACCGAGGCUACCGGACGCGGCAGGAGUUGCCCCUUGGCUUUUAUGAUUGCUUUGGGGAUAAAAAGCCUGUAUUAGAUCAGACGAAGAAAGAAGAAGAGAGGACGGUGUCUCUCCCUGGAGUGUCUGGAGCCUUGGAGUGCUACACGUUCCUUGGUGAGGGCUCUCAGGCAUCGGGUAUAUCCACGGGACACGAGGGGCCACCAACUCCUUGCAGGGACAGACACGACCCAGGCACUGUUGUUAUUCCCAGAGCAGCUGUCUGCAAACCAACGUUUUCUCUCAUGCCAAGCAAUGUUCUGGUCCUUGGUAAUAGUUUACCUACCUGUGAAGUCUUCCCAGCCUUGACAUCUGAGCAGAAAAUCCACAAUGCUGCGGAUAACAUUUGGGCUGCAAGGAGAGGGCCUCAAAGCCCAGAAGAGCUUGAUAAAAUGGAGAGACAAGCCGCGAAAAUAGCAGAGCGGGGCCAGAUCUUAGUUUACAGUUAUCAGCUCAGAACAAACCGCUGUGAAAAGUAUCAAAUUUCAGAGAUACGCAGCAUCGCCGAAACGCAGGAAUUGUCCCCAAAGCCCCAAGACACGGUGCCCUGCCCUGUACGAGGCCUCGCUGUACACUUAGAAGUGAGAAAGGAAAACAAAAUGACUAGAGUGGGAAGCGAAGCACCAUCUAUUAGAAAUGUCAAUGUGUAUGCAGUGGUGAGGAGCCCGCCAGCCUCCUGGAGGUCCUCGAUGUCCCUCCGCGUAUCCAGCCCCACUGGGGUGGUGGAAGGCUCUCACCGGGACGCGGGCAGAGGCCGGCUGUGCGGGCUGUACGCCGUCCGCAGGCACGGGGCCUCGCAGCCUUCACACGUCCACAUUCACGUAAACGUGGUGGGACCGGGAAGGGAGGCAGGAGGCAGCUGGCCACGGCAGGAAAGCGCUGAGGAAACCCAGGACUGA